AUUGAACGCUGGCGGCGGGCCUAACACAUGCAAGUCGAGCGGAUGAAGCGAGCUUUCCCCUGGUUUCAGCGGCGGACGGGUGUGUAAUACCCAGGAAUCUUCUUCGUGGUGCGUCAUAACGUCCGUGAACAGCCGCUACUACUACAUGCGACCUGCGGGAGAAAGAGGGUGUUCUGCGGACCUCUUUCUAUCAGAGGAGCCUAGGUCGGAUAGGCUAGUUGGUGGGGUAGAGGCCUACCAAGGCGACUAUCCGUAACUGGUCUGAGAGGAUGAUCAGUCACUCUGGGACUGAGACACGGUUCAGACUCCUACGGGAGGCAGAAGUGGCGAAUAUUGGAAGAAGGGGGGAAUCCUGCUCCAGCCGUGCCGGCUGUGUGAAGAAGGGCUUCGGAUUGUAGAGCACUUUUAGUGGGGUGGAAGGGCAGCACGUUAAUACAUUGCUGUUUUGACGUUACCGACAGAAUAAGCACCGGCUAACUUCGUG
rnacentral:rRNA from 1 species